rnacentral:rRNA from 1 species
GGAGUUAGCCGGUGCUUCUUCUGUGAGUGAUGUCCUUCCUGCCGGCUAUUAACCCGCAGGCCUUCUUCCUCACUGAAAGUGCUUUACAACCCGAAGGCCUUCUUCACACACGCGGCAUGGCUGGAUCAGGGUUGCCCCCAUUGUCCAAUAUUCCCCACUGCUGCCUCCCGUAGGAGUCUGGGCCGUGUCUCAGUCCCAGUGUGGCUGAUCAUCCUCUCAGACCAGCUACGGAUCGUCGCCUUGGUGAGCCGUUACCUCACCAACCAGCUAAUCCGACAUAGGCUCAUCCGAUAGCGCGAGGCCCGAAGGUCCCCCGCUUUCCCCCGUAGGGCGUAUGCGGUAUUAGCCUGGGGUUUUCCCCCAGGUUAUCCCCCGACUACCGGGCAGAUUCCUAUGCAUUACUCACCCGUCCGCCGCUCGCCACCAGGGAGCAAGCUCCCCGUGCUGCCGCUCGACUUGCAUGUGUUAGGCCUGCCGCCAGCGUUCAAUCUGAGCCAGAAUCAAACUCUGA